AUUGAACACUGGCGGCAGGCCUAACACAUGCAAGUCGAACGGUAACAGGAAACAGCUUGCUGUUUCGCUGACGAGUGGCGGACGGGUGAGUAAUGUCUGGGAAACUGCCUGAUGGAGGGGGAUAACUACUGGAAACGGUAGCUAAUACCGCAUAACGUCGCAAGACCAAAGAGGGGGACCUUCGGGCCUCUUGCUAUCGGAUGUGCCCAGAUGGGAUUAGCUAGUAGGUGGGGUAACGGCUCACCUAGGCGACGAUCCCUAGCUGGUCUGCGAGGAUGACCAGCCAAACUGGAACUGAGCAACGGUCCAGACUGCUACGGGAGGCAGCAGUGGGGAAUAUUGCACAAUGGGCGCAAGCCUGAUGCAGCCAUGCCGCGUGUAUGAAGAAGGCCUUCGGGUUGUAAAGUACUUUCAGCGGGGAGGAAGGCGAUAAGGUUAAUAACCUUGUCGAUUGACGUUACCCGCAGAAGAAGCACCGGCUAACUCCGUGCCAGCCGCCGCAGUAA
rnacentral:rRNA from 1 species